rnacentral:rRNA from 1 species
GUGAGGAAUAUUGGACAAUGGGCGCAAGCCUGAUCCAGCCAUGCCGCGUGCAGGAAGACGCAUCUAUGGUGUGUAAACUGCUUUUGUACGGGAAGAAACACUCCCUCGUGAGGGAGCUUGACGGUACCGUAAGAAUAAGGAUCGGCUAACUCCGUGCCAGCAGCCGCGGUAAUACGGAGGAUCCAAGCGUUAUCCGGAAUCAUUGGGUUUAAAGGGUCCGUAGGCGGUUUAAUAAGUCAGUGGUGAAAGCCCAUCGCUCAACGAUGGAACGGCCAUUGAUACUGUUAGACUUGAAUUACAAGGAAGUAACUAGAAUAUGUAGUGUAGCGGUGAAAUGCUUAGAUAUUACAUGGAAUACCAAUUGCGAAGGCAGGUUACUACUUGUGGAUUGACGCUGAUGGACGAAAGCGUGGGGAGCGAACAGGAUUAGAAACUCUUGUAGUCC